GCCUCAACUGCUAUUUCCAAAGCAGAUGCAAAAUUUGUGGGAUAUAUCCAAUCAUUUGAUUCCCAAGUAGGAAAGUUAUGAGUUUCAGCUGUAAAGACAAUGUGACGUAAUGAAUCUUCCAACUUCAGAGAACUUGCUUCAGAUGUAUCAUUUGGAAAUAUUGCAGGAACGUUAAAACCUUUAAUAGCACUACAUGUGAAAAAUAAACACAGAUAUCAGAAUAACAAAAUAUUUCUUUCAACUUCAGAAAAGAUCUGGUUGACUUGGAAACCCUGAUAAAGCAUAUGAAAACAUAACAGCUAACUAACAGCUACUGUACCUAGUGCUUGUACAAUUAGAGCUAAAUAAAGUUGCAAAUAUAGUUUGACAUAUA